AAUCAAUUUACUACACAAAGACAUCAAAACACAUUUACGAUCUAUCGAGGUCAAACAAUAAAUAACUCAUAAAAUGGUUUUAAAUGGCAUGCACAUAAAAAAAACAUCAAAAUGGCAUGGCUCUACUACGACUUCUGCUACGAUUAAGUACAAGUCAAAUGCAAUCAGUACUCUCGUUAAAGUCGAUUAUCUCAUCACAUCCAAAAUCGCAUACGAAACAGAAGAAAAGUUAAUUUGAGGACCUCCUUCACGUUUUGCUAAGACACAAGAGCUGCAGUCCGCACAAGAUGAGGAUGCAACAUAUGAUACAGCGAAGAAUUGGAACUGUAUAAAAGGUGCCUGUUUAUAAAUGCAGUAAAUUUUGAGACAUGUUAGUCUGGGCAAGCUGAUAUGCAUUUUUUAAAAAUGAUCAUCGAACUAACUAACUUAUGUAAUGUUUGUGACACUGUAAACACCAAACUGCAAUGGUAAAUACAAGAGCACUAGGUCAAUUUUAUAAUUCUAAAGCAUUAUUGAUUUUUCAAAAAAAAAAACACUGCAUACCACAUCACACAAAUUUCUAUCAGAUAUGGUUUGUUUAGUUCCUCCAGCGACACCUUUAGGAAAUCUCCUUUUCUUCGAUGGAAGCAUACGCCCGGUUUCAGUAGCUGCGCCGCCUCAUCUCGCACCAGCGAACUAUAUAAUCACCUAGUGGUUUGAGAUGUACUUUACGAUCUAUUCUCAUAUACAGUGCGUUUGACAUCAAUAUCUCUUUUAUUAGGCGAAAUACGAAAAAGUAUAAUUUUAUAUGUGACAUUACGAUCUAUUUGAUCGCAUAUUCACACUUCCGGUAUCGCUUCCGUUAUAACUGGAAAUAGAUGGAACUUUUGUUUUUCAAAUGCAAUGCCUAUGUCUUUUAACGAUUAUUUUAAAAGAGCAAUCAAUUUGAUGUAAGACAUAAGAUAUGCAUAUGGUGGAUAUACCUACAAAAAAUGGAGAAAUUCGUGAUUAAAGAUUUAGAAAAUUUAUGAAAUCUAGCAUGCCGUGUUGUCAGGAUGGACUUGCAUUACACGGGGUGAUAGUACAUCUUUUCUGUGUGAUAUAGCACAUGGCUUGCUAGAUUUCAUAAAUUUCCUAAUCACUGGUUUCUCCAUUUUUUUGACAGAAAAUUGAUUGCUCUUUUCAAAUAUCGUAAAAAGACAGGCAUUCCAUUUGAUUUUUGAAAAACAAAAGUUGCAUCGAUUUCCGGUUACACCGGAAGUUUGAAUACGUAAUCAGAUGGAUCGUAAUGCAUAAUAAAAUUUUAUUUGACAACUCUUUCGUAUUGAGCCGGAUAGAAGAGAUAUUGAAGUGGCCCUCUUAUCUCAAACGUAUUGUAUACUACAUAUAUAAAAAAUUCAUAAAAAUCAGUCUAGCUGUUUCAGUGUAACCAUGGGACACGAAAUAUGUAUAUAUUAGAUGUUCUCCAACUGUAUGCUGCAGAUUUAUUUUACAAUAGAGAAAUAAGGAGUAUAAAAAUAAGAAUAAAUUGUAAUUUGUAUAAUUGAGAUGUAUAUUAACAGAUAUAUACUACAUUAAAAAUAGAUAAAAUUAAUUUCAACUACAAUUGCAACAAAAUUUAUAAGAUUUCCAUUCACCAUUUACAAAUAUACAAUACUGAAUCAAGCAAGAAAUAUUGCUUAUAAAUAUUUGAAAAUUUAGUAACACUAGUGGAAUGUGUCCGUUAAAAGCAAAAAAAAAAGGUUUAAAAGUGUGUCUAACACACUGUGAAGUGAGUACGGAUAUAUAAUAUCAUCUAACACUUACUUUACAGUAUUGUCUAUACAAUUAUUAUAUACUAUACAAUUGUUUAAUGACACAA